rnacentral:rRNA from 1 species
UGGGUGGCAGAAGCUUGCUUCUCUGAUGUUAGCGGCGGACGGGUGAGUAACACGUGGAUAACCUACCUAUAAGACUGGGAUAACUUCGGGAAACCGGAGCUAAUACCGGAUAAUAUUUUGAACCGCAUGGUUCAAAAGUGAAAGACGGUCUUGCUGUCACUUAUAGAUGGAUCCGCGCUGCAUUAGCUAGUUGGUAAGGUAACGGCUUACCAAGGCAACGAUGCAUAGCCGACCUGAGAGGGUGAUCGGCCACACUGGAACUGAGACACGGUCCAGACUCCUACGGGAGGCAGCAGUAGGGAAUCUUCCGCAAUGGGCGAAAGCCUGACGGAGCAACGCCGCGUGAGUGAUGAAGGUCUUCGGAUCGUAAAACUCUGUUAUUAGGGAAGAACAUAUGUGUAAGUAACUGUGCACAUCUUGACGGUACCUAAUCAGAAAGCCACGGCUAACUACGUGCCAGCAGCCGCGGUAAUACGUAGGUGGCAAGCGUUAUCCGGAAUUAUUGGGCGUAAAGCGCGCGUAGGCGGUUUUUUAAGUCUGAUGUGAAAGCCCACGGCUCAACCGUGGAGGGUCAUUGGAAACUGGAAAACUUGAGUGCAGAAGAGGAAAGUGGAAUUUCCAUGUGUAGCGGUGAAAUGCGCAGAGAUAUGGAGGAACACCAGUGGCGAAGGCGACUUUCUGGUCUGUAACUGACGCUGAUGUGCGAAAGCGUGGGGAUCAAACAGGAUUAGAUACCCUGGUAGUCCACGCCGUAAACGAUGAGUGCUAAGUGUUAGGGGGUUUCCGCCCCUUAGUGCUGCAGCUAACGCAUUAAGCACUCCGCCUGGGGAGUACGACCGCAAGGUUGAAACUCAAAGGAAUUGACGGGGACCCGCACAAGCGGUGGAGCAUGUGGUUUAAUUCGAAGCAACGCGAAGAACCUUACCAAAUCUUGACAUCCUUUGACAACUCUAGAGAUAGAGCUUUCCCCUUCGGGGGACAAAGUGACAGGUGGUGCAUGGUUGUCGUCAGCUCGUGUCGUGAGAUGUUGGGUUAAGUCCCGCAACGAGCGCAACCCUUAAGCUUAGUUGCCAUCAUUAAGUUGGGCACUCUAAGUUGACUGCCGGUGACAAACCGGAGGAAGGUGGGGAUGACGUCAAAUCAUCAUGCCCCUUAUGAUUUGGGCUACACACGUGCUACAAUGGACAAUACAAAGGGCAGCGAAACCGCGAGGUCAAGCAAAUCCCAUAAAGUUGUUCUCAGUUCGGAUUGUAGUCUGCAACUCGACUACAUGAAGCUGGAAUCGCUAGUAAUCGUAGAUCAGCAUGCUACGGUGAAUACGUUCCCGGGUCUUGUACACACCGCCCGUCACACCACGAGAGUUUGUAACACCCGAAGCCGGGUUUAUAU